UACAGAAGGGGCAAGCGUUGUUCGGAAUUACUGGGCGUAAAGGGCGCGCAGGCGGCCUGCUAAGUCGAACGUGAAAUCCCCGAGCUCAACUCGGGAACUGCGUCCGAUACUGGCAGGCUUGAAUCCGGGAGAGGGAUGCGGAAUUCCAGGUGUAGCGGUGAAAUGCGUAGAUAUCUGGAGGAACACCGGUGGCGAAGGCGGGUCUCUGGGCCGAUACUGACGCUGAGGAGCGAAAGCGUGGGGAGCGAACAGG
rnacentral:rRNA from 1 species